rnacentral:lncRNA from 1 species
ACCCUUUUGUCCAUGGGGUCACAUUCUCAUCUUCUGGAUACCCAUCACUCUCGGGCAGCCAUUCUAACUGCCUCAUCUGUGUGCAGCAGUCUGGACCUAGAAGCUGUGUCCCCUCUGCUGCCCAGUGGAGUCGAGUGCUUGGCACCCAGCACUCAGACAGGGUGGCCACCAACCUGGCCGAGGGGACUGUCCCCAAGAUGAUCAUAGGACAUCAGGCAGGGCUCCUGAGCCAGCCCCCCGCCAAGCCUGCCUCGCUCCCAGUACCGCCAGAGGAGUAGCUGAGGCCAACCCCUGAAGCAGCCAAGGCGUCCUCUAAGCCCAGAAGUGCCAGGGAUUGGGGGCUGCCCAGCUCCAGACAGGGUCAUCACACUCUGACCCUCAGAGGGGCCCCCCUGCUUCCCAGCUCCAGACAGGGCCGUCACACUCCCAAUCCGCAGAGGGCCCCCCCAAGCUUCCCAGCUCCGGACGGAAGCGGCUGCCCAGCUUCACCGACCUCCAUGCCGCGGCCUGGGGUCUUGCUCCAACGCAAGAGAACACGGGUCUCGUUGAGGGCUCCUCUGCCCCAUGUCUCCUGCUCCUGGACACCCAGGCCUGCCCUCACCACGGCCGCUGGACACUGGGUGGGGGUCCUGGCCACUCUUCUGGAUGGCCAGUCUGAUGUUGCAGGCGCAGCCACUUCACUGUUUGUCCCUCACAGUACGCCAGAGUCCCUCCUCCCUACAAGAGCCACUCCCAGGGCCCAGUCCUCCCCCGAGAGGUGCUGAUGAGAGUGGAGUAUGGAACCACCUGCCAGCCAACCCCAGGUGGCCUCUCGGGGGUGCCCUGCCCCACCGGGCCAUGCAUGGUGUGGCCCUCCCCGGUGCUGUCACGUCUGAGUGUGGCCCUGCAGACUUGCCCCCACUAGGCUGGAGCACAUCCCCCGGGACCUGAUCCCAGGAGCUCCGGGAGCAGCUCGCACACAGCUCCAUGGAUGCCCCCCACAGCGAGAGAGACAGGAAAGGCCAGCUCCGAGUCCCACACCUCACUCUUCAAGCUGGGAAAAUGAUGCUGUUACCUUGGGAGGUGAGACCCUCCAGAUGGGAACCUGGACGCUGGGAGCUGGUGUGUUCCCGGAAUUCGGGGGAAUAUUUCAUUCCCUGCGCAUAGUGUCUAGACUUUCAUAUCCCUCCUCCCAGGCACCCAGGCAUCACUUCACAACCCCAUGCUCAGCAAGCUCCAGAGAAAACUCCUCAAUAAACUAUGAGUGUUAAUACCCG